rnacentral:tmRNA from 1 species
GGGGGCGCUCGGUUUCGACUUUCUCGAACGUGCGUCUGUGGCAAGCCGAGGACUGAACUGGUUGGCCUCGUUAAUCAUCCGGUUCAAAAAAUUAAAUGCUAACGAAGAGUUGGCUCUCGCGGCCUAAAUUGCCGCGACGUCCUGUCUUCAACUCCUGCUAGGAGAACAGGACGCUAUCAGCAGGGCUGUCCGCAAAGUGAGUCGCCGGCUUGCGGAGUGAAUUGACGCGGAGGCUAAGGUCACGGAGCGCGUGGUUGCGCAACCCGUGACUCGAAAAUCAACCAACCACUAAGCUUGUAGAGGCAGGCGUUCUCUCGAUUAAGGACGUGGGUUCGAGUCCCACCGCCUCCACUC